rnacentral:tRNA from 1 species
GGAGAGAUGGCUGAGUGGGCGAAAGCGCACGCCUGGAGAGCGUGUAAGCAGCGUGAGCGGCUUCGAGGGUUCGAAUCCCUCUCUCUCCGCCA